AUGGACCGGUGUUCUGCUAGGAACCUGGCCACACAGCAGCCUCACCACUGUUGCUAUAGAAACAAUGAUAUCACCAAUUGUGAUUCUGAUGUCACUCUCCAGUCCCAGCAAGGGAUUCUGUAUCCAUGUAAUCAUGGCAGGAGGGGGGAUAAACUGAGGGAUAGUGAAAAGAACAAUAAAUUAAUCAAGAGUUUUCCUCAUAUCUCAGAACCUAUCCUGAGUGAGAAUUCAGCUCCUUUUCUAACCCAAACUGUGUGUGUCUUACACAAAAGUAUAGUUUGAAAUGUGGAAUAUAGCUGGUCAAGAACAGUACCGUGGCCUAGCACCGAUGUACUACAGAGGACACAAGCAGCCAUAGUUGUAUAUGAUAACACAAAUGAGGAGUCCUCUGCAAGAGCAGAAAAUUGGGUUAAAGAACUUCAGAGGCAAGCAAGUUCUAUGCUAACAUUGCAGUAGUUUUAUCAGGAAACAAGGCUGAAGUAGCAAAGAAAAGAGUAGUAGAUUUCCAGGAAGCACAGACUUAUGCAGAUGACAAUAGUUUAUUAUUCAUGGAGACAGCAGCUAAAACAUUAAUGAACGCAAAUGAGAUAUUUGUGGCAAUAGCUAAAAAAUUGCCAAAGAAGGAGCCACAAAAUCCAGGAGCAAAUUCUGCCAGAGGAAGAGGAGUAAACCUUGCUGAACUCACACAACCAAGCAGGAGUCAGUGUUGCAGCAACUAAACCUCCAGUUUGAACUAGAUGGAAUAGUCUUCUGCUUCUUAACUGUUAAUAAUGAUGGAAUUGCAGCCGGGCGCGGUGGCUCAAGGCUGUAAUCCCAGCACUUUGGGAGGCUGAGGCGGGUGGAUCACGAGGUCAAGAGAUCGAGACCAUCCUGGUCAACAUGGUGAAACCCCAUCUCUACUAAAAAUACAAAAAAUUAGCUGGGCGUGGUGGCGCGUGCCUGUAAUCCCAGCUACUCAGGAGGCUGAGGCAGGAGAAAUGCCUGAACCCAGGAGGCGGAAGUUGCGGUGAGCCGAGAUCGCCCCAUUGCACUCCAGCCUGGGUAACAAGAGCGAAACUCCGUCUCAAAAAAAAAAAAAAAUGAUGGAAUUGGAGCAUUUAUCCAGCCCAGUAUGACUUCUGAAAAAAGAGACUUGUGAUAAUAGAGUCAAGUUUCUAAUAUAGAAUUAUUUUAAGUGUUUUGAACUUAAUUUUUAGUAACAUGCAUGGGUCCCUCUCACUAAUGUUUCAGCAAUAGGGAAAAAUGAGAACUAUGUGUACACUUAUUCAUUAUUCCCCCUAAUUUCUCAUUACUAGGAGUAUAGACAAAUGACUGACUGGGUCCACACAGUUAACCAGCUUAGUUCUCCACACUGGUGUAGUAGUCAACUGUGAAAAAAAAUUAGAAUUUACUAAUUUGGGCUUUUCAAAAACAUUCUUUUUUUAGAAGGAGAUUCUAAUGUUAUUUAUGCUUAGCCAUAGUAUUCAGGCAAAUGUUCAUUUCUCCUGGUAUCUGUAUUUAAAAUGUACAUUCCACAUUUUAAUAAAUUAACUACAAGAAAAUAAUCCCACAUAUACAAGGUGGGGGGUGGAAAGAGCAUUAAUGGUAUCUAAAUUAUAGCCAGUCCUUUUUUUUUUUUUAAUGGGGUCAAAAAAAUCAAAUGUAACCCCAUCUUGUUUUAGGAAUUUGAGAACUAAUAAAUGCAUCUUAAUGUAUAGUGUUCCUUUCAAACAUGUGAGUCAUUUAACAAAAAUGAAAUAAACUAGGUAUCUGUGAUUUCUAAUUAAUCACUGCUGGCCAUUACAUAGGUUUUGUUGUUUGGUGCAGGGAGGAGACUUUCAUUCACUUUUGACGCAAUGUAGUCAAUGCACCAACAAUUAUGUACAUUUAAACUUGAUUAUUUUAAAUUCAAUCUUUAGUGCUACAACAGUAUACCGCAUUGUAGUCUCCAUAUAUAUAUUACUUUUCUGCAAUAUUUAAGAGUUGCUUCAAAGUAUACAAAAUGGGCCGGGCGCGGUGGCUCACGCCUGUAAUCCCAGCACUUUGGGAGGCCGAGGUGGGUGGAUCACGAGGUCAAGAGAUCGAGACCAUCCUGGUCAACAUGGUGAAACCCCGUCUCUACUAAAAAUACAAAAAAAAAUUAGCUGGGCAUGGUGGCGCGUGCCUGUAAUCCCAGCUACUCAGGAGGCUGAGGCAGGAGAAUUGCCUAAACCCAGGAGGCGGAGGUUGCGGUGAGCCGAGAUUGCGCCCUUGCACUCCAGCCUGGGUAACAAGAACGAAACUCCAUCUCAAAAAAAAAAAAAAAGCAUACAAAAUGUACAGUUACUGAAACAGCUAAUUAUUUCUCUCCCCUCUCUGACAGGAAGGGGCUUCAGUUGGUCCUCCAUGACUAGAACCUUAACAGUGUGCCCAUAUUUGUAACAUAAAGCAUUACAAUAUGUUAGUAACAAUCUUGCAGCCUUGUUUUCCAACAUUCAAUUAUUUUGAUCAGUUCAGUAUACUUCACUAAUUAUUUUAGGUAUUUUCAUUAUAUGAGAGCUACCGUGUGUCAGAGAUGAUUUAAUCUAUUUAUGUGUUGGUCUGCUAGGAGAACUUACACAUUUACAAUAAUGCAGAAUUAGGAAAAUGGUUCACCAGUGUUUGGUUUUAUGUAGAGGUGCUCAUGUUGGAAUAAAGCGGUAUAAAAAGCAAAAAAAAAAAAAAAAUGUAGAAAGGUCACUUGAAAGCUCUGAAUAACUGUUGGACUAGUGAAAAGCAGUUCAUGAUUAUUCGUCACAUGUAUUUUCUAGACAAUAAUUGCUAUAGGUGUUUAAAGAAUGGGUCAUCUCAAAAUGGGAGAUGGUCAGAGAAAAUUUUAUAAGGUAUGUUUGAGACAAAGGUGGAGAAGAGGAAUAGGACAGGGAGGUAUAUAGCUGACUUAAAACUAAGCUACUGAAUGAAAAGAUGGUGAGUAGAGAAAAUAAAACCCAUUAACCCUUUUUAUUUUCUCCUUCAUGGACAUGAAAAUUUGCCGCAGGCGUCAGAAAUACUGAGAUAAUUUGGCAUCUUCCUUCCCCAGUUGCUCAGAAUACUAUUGUGUAAGAAGAGGAAAGGCUGCAAGAGGGCAAGGGGGUUUGAAGAGAUGGAUGUUUGGUUAUAGACUGCACUGAUAAGAAAGGAAACGUGGGUACUUAGUCUUUCAGUCACUAUGGUUUGAUCAACCCCUUUUGCAAAAUCCUUGUGGAUAGAGUGGAAUAAUAGACAUAAAUUUUACACAUUUUAGGUUUAAAAAUAUAUAGACAUUAAAAACCCAUAAACACAGCAACUUAACACAAUUCUGUGGACUCCAUUAUAAAGCUCUGUGCUAUGCUGUAGGUUUGGAUUUUUAUUUUUUAAAUUUUAUUUAUCUUUUAAAAUAUAUUUUUGUAGAGACAGGGUUUCGCUAUGUUGCCCAGGCUGGUUUCAAACUCCUGAGCUCAAGCAAUCUGCCCACCUCCACCUCCCAAAAUGAUGGGACUGCAGCCGUGAGCCACCGCACCCAACUGAUUUUAUUUAUUUAUUUAUUUUUUUAAUCAAAAAGGGUAAAAGAAUAAACUCCACAGCUGCACUACAGUAAGGCUUUCCUGUACUGUUACAGCCCUAUUAUGGAAACACACCUAUUUGCAGGUUAGUGUGUUUAUUCGUAAAUGACUAGGUAGUAAUGCAUUAUCAUCUUCCAAAAAGAGAGGUAAAAUUAUCACUUUGAUACAGAUAGAAAAAUGAAUAUAUAUGAAAGAUUGUAUCUACCUCACAGGUGAGGAAGUUGGUAAGGUAUUACAAACAGUUCAAAAGAGAAUUUUUAAAAGAUACAUGUAUGUAUCAGCAAUAUUAAAAUAAAGGUGCAAAUUAAAGCAAAAGUGGCCUGCUCCACAGUGGGGAAGGAAAGUCGACCCAAUUUCCACUAGAUAGAAUUUUCACAUCUGUAGCCAAGAGUUAUUUUGCAUUGCUAUCAAUUAUCUACAGCUUUCAGAAUUGUAAAAUAGCUCUCACAGACUGAGAAUCAGAUCAUGUGGAAGAUUGAAGACAAUACUUAGUCUACAGGCCAUAGACAAUGUUUGGUUUUCUAUUUAAGCAUAAUUUUUUCCCUGUAGUCUCCCCCAUUUUGAUAAAAAUUAAAAUAAUAUUAAAGUGAGAUUAUUCUUGAAUACAAAAUGAGGCUAGUCUCAUCAGAUUUGGCCUGAUUGUUUACAUAGGUGCAGCAACUGGAUAGGCUUUCUUAAGUUUGCUUUAGCAGAAGUCUUCCUAAGGAAUCUCAGGUUGGACUUUUAAAGGCCUCUGUUAUUUACUGUGCUGAGAUUAGGAAGUCAAGCCUAAGAAACUCUCUCUACCAGGUUUCACCUGCAGUCCCUAAGAAAACAAGCAGGUAUACAUUUAGACUUCUCCGAAAUUAUUGCUCCUAAUCAUAGUCUCAACCACUAAUAUUAAUCAUAACUGUUAACCAAAGUACUUUCUGUUCUUUGUAUUUCACACACACACACACACACAAAAACUGGUGGGUGAGGGGUAUGUAAUUGGGAACAUCACACACCAGCUGAAAUUCAGAUGAGUAGAACUCAUGAAUACCCCUGAAGAAGACUUGCUACAGAUGCAGACACCCUUUAUACCGCCUCUCUAAGUGGAGAAGAUGAACACAGUCAUUAACAGACUUAAAGAUACAGCCUCUCUAUAAGUGAUAAAAAUAACAAGCAAAAGCAUAUAAACUUUAUGCUUAGCCAUCAAUGUCUCUGUGUUCCGUCUUACUUAGAAAUGAUCUACAUAUCCAGUGAAUAUACAUCAACUCAAUGUAAUACCACUCCAGUGUUUUAAGUUAUACAAAGAUGUUGGAAACUUAUCAUUAGGCUGACAUUUAAAACAUAAUAACUGUUGAAAUAAAGAUGUCAGAAUGAUUAUUCAACUUGGUUAAACACAAAUUUAUGUUUUUUGUAAUCUUUAAACAUUAAGUAGAAGUAAUGCUGGCUUUUUUGGAUCUGUGUAACCUGUGUAAGUUUAUGAAAAGCAUAUCAAAGUAAAAUAAAAGCAUACAAUUGUAUUAUACUUAACACUGAUAAAUAAGAAAAGAUACAGCUGUAUUUAUUAAACCAAAAUUAUUAAUCUAGUACUGUUUGCCAACGAGUUACCUAAUUUAUGUCAAUUUGGGUUUGUAAAAUGUUUCUGAGUUAGGUUCCAUAAAAAUGCUUUUUUUUUCUUUUCUUUUCUUUUAGGAUUCCCUUUAAAUAUUUUAAAUAUUAGAAGUUGGAUUUCCUUAUUUUCUAGGGAUAUCAAAAAUAUUUAAUUUACCUAAGUGUGUGUUUGUGUGCGUGUGCAUGUGUGUGCACGUGCCGAUCCAAAUAAACAUCCCUUGAUUUAGGAGACUUCAUAAUAUUACGUAUUGAUCCUACCUGGAGGAAGAAACUGCUGCUUCCACCUAAGGUUUUCUGAAUUACAGACGUAGCGAUGCAGUCACUGAUAGACAGUUUAUGGCUUCAAUUCUAAACCUUCAGCCAAACUUUGUGUCAAAAAUAAACCAGAAACAUAAAACUCACCUGUCCAAAUAUCAAAGAGCUCUUCUCCUUCCAACUGAGCACAAACACCUUGAUUGAUUUAAGCUUAAGAUAGACAAAAAGAUACUCUCAAAACAAAUUUUCUGUUGCUUCACAUCCAACAGAAGUUAGAUCUCUAUAAGUCAUUAAUCCAUAAAAGGAAUUACCAAUGGUCAGACAAUGAAAUCAAAUUUCCAAUCAUCAUUGCCACCAAUUGACCAUAAACAAACCAAAGUAAGAACCAAAACCAAAAUUAGUGGAGAGGAAAAUUAAAACUAGAAAAACAGGCCAGGCACGGUGGCUCAUGCUUGUAAUCCUAGUGCUUUGAAAGGCUGAUGCAGGUGAAUCACGAGGUCAGGAGUUCGAGACCAGCUUGACCAACAUGGUGAAACCCCGUCUCUACUGAAAAUACAAAAAUUAGCCAGGCGUGGUGGUGCACUCCUGUAAUGACAGGUUCACAGGAGGCUGAGGCAGGAGAAUCACUUGAACCUGGGAGGAGGAGGUUGCAAUGAGCCAAGAUUAUGUCAUUGCAUUCCAGCCUGGGCAACAAGAGCAAGACUCCAUCUCAAAAAGAAAGAAAGAAAGAAAGAAAACCUAGAAAAACAGAAUGUCUGCAAACUUCUAUUGCCACUCUGGGGGCUGAGAAAACAUACACCUGGUGCACUUGUCUCAUGAGGACAUGUAUCUCCAUUAGGUGGAUCUAUUGAGCAUCUUCGUGGAAGACUUCCAAACCCAUUAAAAGAUAAUUUUCAAAGAAGGGUAGAAUAAUGACUCUCACACAUAGAUAAAAAUGAACAUGUGUUAAUGAUUUUAUUUAACUCAUUAACAAGGAACAGGUGAGGUUCAAAAGACACAUGUACCUUCUAAAUACUGAAGUGAAUGUGCCCAUGGAAGCAGAGCUGACCUUCUCUACAGUGGGAGAGGUAGUCAGUUGACACUUCCCUUAUCGGUGUCUAUGCAAGAAUUAUAUUGCAUUGCUGUCAGUUAUCUACAGUUAACAGAGUUGUAAAAUAGCUCCAAGAGAAGGAGAAUCAGAUAAUGUGAGAUAAUGUGGAGGGGUAUGCUAUAGAUGAUGUGUAGUUUUCCACUAAAGCCCAAAAUACCCCAUAUAAUAGCUAUUAUUAGGAGAACCAUUUGGGAGGGUUUUGAACCAAGCACAACGGCCCUUAACUCCAACAUGGUAACAAGCCACUUAAACCAGUUCUGCAGACAACUAGCACAACGGCUUUUCUUUUUGUUUCUUUCCAAGUAAUCAAAACACAGCAGGAUAUUGUAGGGGUAGAGAGCCCAGAUUUUAGAGUGAGAAUUGGAUUUGAAUAUGAAAUCCCACCCUGGAUAGCUGUGAGAUGCCUGGCAAACCAUUUAACUUCCCUAAGCCUCUGUUUCCUUACCUGUGAAACUGGAAGAGUAGAACCUAUGUCACCAGGUGAAUUUGAGGAUUAAACAAAAUAGUGCCUGUAAAACAUUUAGCACAGUGCCUGGCAAACAUUAUGAGUACGUCACAAAUGAUAACUAGUAACUAUUUGACACUCGGUAAUAAAAAUACCAAAUUGUUCUUUAAAGAUGGGCAGUAUUUGUGGCCAUUCCCAGAUAGACAUAUGAACUCCAAUAAUUACAGUGAUCCUUUGCAUGUGAUAAUAAAUAAGAUACUUUCAAAUAUACGAUUUUAUCCUAUGUUUAAGAGUUUUUCCCAUAUGCAGAUUGUACAGUUUAUAAACAUAUAAACAUGUCCAUGUGCGUAUCGCAGCUACUGUCCAUCAAAGAAUCUGUAUUCACACAAAACUCAUAAAUUGCCCAUACAUAUUAACUCCUGAACUAUAGAUCAGAAUGUUACCUUAAAUGACGUCAGUUAGUCCACUGGAAGCCAUUCAACAUAUCUAGAUAGUGUUCGUGCAGCCUGGCAAAGUGAUCAAGUAUGCACAAUUUCCCCUGAAUUUUCUCAUUUUUUGGAAACCAUACUUAUAAUAUGAUCUAAAUAAAAACAGGGAAAUCAUAGAAAAUAACAAUAUUAAAACAAGAAAAAAUCUGAUUCAGUUCAAAUGCUAACUCUUCUAUGUAGCUGGUGACUCUCAGAUCUUUUUUUCAACUUUUAAGUUCAGGGGUACAUGUGCAGGUGUUAUGUAGGUAAACUUGUGUUACAGGGGUUUGUUGUCCAGAUUAUUUAAUCACUCAGGUAUUAAGCCUAGUACCCAUUAGUCACUUUUCUUGUGCUCUCCCUUUUCCCUACUUCCACUCUCCAAAAGGCCCCAGUGUAUGUUGUUCCCCUCUCUGUGUUCAUGUGUUCUCAUCAUUUAUCUCCCACUCAUAAGUAAGAAUAUGUGGUAUUUGAUUCUCUGUUCAUGAAUCAACCUAAAUGCCCAUCAAUGAUAGACGGGAUAAAGAAAAUGUGGUAAUAUACACCGUGGAGUACAAUGCAGCCAUGAAAAAGAAUG